rnacentral:rRNA from 1 species
UGGGGAAUUUUGGACAAUGGGCGCAAGCCUGAUCCAGCCAUGCCGCGUGCGGGAAGAAGGCCUUCGGGUUGUAAACCGCUUUUGUCAGGGAAGAAAUCUUCUGAGUUAAUACCUCGGGAGGAUGACGGUACCUGAAGAAUAAGCACCGGCUAACUACGUGCCAGCAGCCGCGGUAAUACGUAGGGUGCAAGCGUUAAUCGGAAUUACUGGGCGUAAAGCGUGCGCAGGCGGUUUUGUAAGACAGAGGUGAAAUCCCCGGGCUCAACCUGGGAACUGCCUUUGUGACUGCAAGGCUUGAGUGCGGCAGAGGGGGAUGGAAUUCCGCGUGUAGCAGUGAAAUUGCGUAGAUAUGCGGAGGAACACCGAUGGCGAAGGCAAUCCCCUGGGCCUGCACUGACGCUCAUGCACGAAAGCGUGGGGAGCAAACAGGAUUAGAUACCCUGGUAGUCCACGCCCUAAACGAUGUCAACUGGUUGUUGGGAAGGUUCCUUCUCAGUAACGUAGCUAACGCGUGAANUUGACCGCCUGGGGAGUACGGCCGCAAGGUUGAAACUUAAAUGAAUUGACGGGGU